AGGGCCCCAGUAUGGCGGACUACACAAUGGAGGACUGACGGGAAGGUUACAGAACAGAGGAGGAUGCGGUGACUGAGCUAAUGAAAAAACCAUUCAACCAUUUAUUUAGAAAAACAUUAAAACCAACCAAGUGGCGCAGAGGCCGGGCGCACAGAGGACGCCAUAGAACCGGUUGAGACUGACGUGUUGGGCAGUCGUCGUGGUUCUGCAUGAUGGUUUGGAGGGUCGGCAGUUUUGGUUCCAGCCGAUCGUUGUGGUGGAAGAGACGGGAAUUACUUAUCAAGCUGUCGUUCCGGUUUGGUUCCUGAUUCGUUUCCGGAUGACUGGCGGUUCCUUCCCAGGAGGUCGGAUGUUCGGUUUCCAGUUUUGUUGGGACUGUUUGGACUCUGGUUACAAAGAAAGAGGAGGUUCUGAUGGAGGAGUGACCUAUUAUACUAGGACUAUGGGAGGGGUUUGGUCACAUGUUCAAGUUUUUCUUUGCUGCUAUUGGUCAGAGUAAAGAAGGAGAAUAGCAA